rnacentral:lncRNA from 1 species
GAGUGCAUUGGAUUACUUGUUGUACUUUGAGUUUACAAAAAGAACAUGUUACUCAAGUAAAAAACUUGAAGUUUAACUUUACAGUAAGAUACUAGAUAGGCUAAAAGUUUUUCAAAUAUGGUUCAAAACCGAAACCGACCCGAACCGAUCUGAAAAUUCAAAUGGGCCAAAUAUUCGGGUCUAAGGUUUUAAAAUCCAAAUUCGGUUAGAAAAAACCUUAAACCGAAUAAUUCGGAUUGAUUUUGGUUUCACCCUAAAACCGACCUGAAUCAAAGAUAUACAGCCCUAGAUUUUAAGUGUUUUAGGAUUCAUAUAUUCACUCCAGUCCCGUUCACCUGGUCACCUACUGACCAGGGAACAUUUGGUCAAUAGCCAUUAGAUCUGGCUCAUUUAAAAUCCAAGGGUUGAGAUUAAUUAAGUUAAAACCUAUUUUAUUAUACCGUCUUCUCCCUCAUCUUCUCCUCUUCCCCUUUUUUUCUGAGAAGAUCUUCUCCUCUUCCCCAAACUCUAAAAUUUGCUGAAAACCCAGAUGUGGUCUCCCCUCUUCUCGUCUUCUACUCGCAUCCUCUUCUCCUCCCCAAAUUCUGAAAUUUUCUGAAAACCCAAAUUGCUAAUCAAACAUGCCAAGAAUGUCUUCUCCUAGGUUGAUCAUCUCAAUUCUCAAGCUACGAGUUUUGUGUUGGGGAGGGUGUAGGAGGUGGAGACCGAAGUUUGUUCGACGGCUUCGGCAACGGCGAUAGCAUUCAUGACGACGGCGGCGCCUUCCAAAACGGCGAGAAUAUACACCCGUGACGAAGCGCGACAGCGGCUCCCGCUGAGGCAAUAUGUUGGGUUUCUGGGCUGAAUUGGGUUCUCAAACUACUUUGGAUAUUGAGGAGAAAAGCUAUCAAAGACAUCAUAUUACUGGGUACCGGUGUCCAACUCCAAUUGAGUUUGAAUUUUCAGAAUUUCUCAGAAGAGGAGGAAAAAGAUGGAGAAGACAACUUGGUACUGAUAUGAAUUAUCACAGUGAUCAUCAAUAAAAAAAUGAUUAAAUAAAUAUAAUUGAAUAGGUUAUAACUCAAUUAAUCUCAACCCUUAGAUUUAAAUGAGCCAGAUCUAAGGGCUAUUGACCAAAUGUUCACUGGUCAGUAGGUGACAGGUGAACGGGACUGUAUUCACUCACCCGUUUUUCGUUAUAGGAAAAGUUCCCGAUGCCUUUUUUACGUCCUACCCGUCCGCAUAAAUUGGUUGUUUUGCCCUUAAAGUUGUUUUGUGCUUGAUGCACCGCCUCCGAUGGAUACAGUCGAUUAGGGGAAACUAUUACUGACAGUAGCCGCUCUUUAUCUCUUAUUCGCUCUUCCCCGACUGCUAUCAAGCUCUCUCUUCACCAUCUGUAUUCAAUCUUGCACUGAAUCUUGAAUCGUUUCCUUCUCGGUCUCAGUAAGUCUUCAAUUCUAUUAUCCAUUGCAUUUGAAAUGGAUGUAUGGGUUUUCACCUUCGUGUUUUUCCUGCUGAAUUUUCAAUCACAGGGUUUAGUUUUGCCUGGCUUUAGACACUAUUACAGUUGCUCUUGCUUUGAUCGAAAUCCAAACUGAGAUUCUCCAAAUCUCUGAUUCAGGCAAGUUAGUGAUCAGAUAUAUCCGAAUUUUGAUUUCUAGGAUUUCAGCUUCGGACAGACUAAUUUGGUAUUUAUUUUUGUAGGCUUCUCUCUGAGAUGUAGAAGCUUCGGUUUUUUUGUUUUUAUUCUUAGUUCUGGAAUUUGCUUUUGUGUGAAAUAGAGAGCUUUAUGUGAAAAUAGUGUUUCGCGUCUGUUUUUGAUGAGCCACUGUGGCUGUAAGAUUUAUGACUUAUGUGAGUAAAUUGUUUUUGUUGUCGACUCAGAUUCGGUCGUCACUGUGGAAGAAGGUUGAAGCUUUUAUUGGCUCUAAAACGUUUAUCUAGGUGAGCACUACACAUUGUCAGACAUAUCUAUGAAUGAAAGGUUUGAGAGCUUUAAAUUGUUAGUUUAAAGUGGUAGCUUCUUUUGUUGAUUGAAGAUAAUAGUAGCAGAAACUGACUGUCCUUUGUGCAUGAACCAACAACUAAAAACAUGAAUUGAGUUAGCUACCACGAAUGAUUACUAGGAUUCAAUUUUAGUUUGAGUUUGGAUAGAACUAAACUGAAAAAUACAAAAAGAACUUCAAUGAGUUUGUAUAGAUCAAACAUCAUCAACUGUAAAAACAGAUGCUUUUGAUCGAGAAGGGAGGCAUAGUUGCUUUUUUUUAUCCCUUCUAAAUGAAAAGACUCCUUUGUAUUGCUAAGAAAAUAACCAUGUUAAAAGGACAACAUGCUGAUUUUCAUGUUUAGAUACGGUAGGAGGACUCAGCUUAUAGCUUUUAUGAGGUUAUCAGUUCGGAGAAGAAGAAAGAUAAAAAGACGUGCCGUCUUCCUCACCGAACACCACGGCGAUCCCCAGCAGUUCAUCCAAAGUGACGACGGCCUCUACCAAGCCACCGAGGACCAGCAAGGCCAAGGCAUGUAUAGACACCUUCCCCCUCUACGCUUUACACCUUAAAUUAUGUUUGAUCUGAAAAUUAAUUCGAAAUUGCAAUUUGACUUUGUUUAUAUAAAUUUAUGAAUUCAAGCUCGGUUUUUAUGGUCAGGAUUCCUUGGAAUGGGAAACACGAUGUGUAGAUUGACAAGUGAAAUUCACAAUGCUUUAGACUGCUAUUGUUUUUGUGGAUUCUAGCUCAGUUUAUAAUACCAAGAUUGGAGACUGAGUUUUCAUGUGUAGUGAGACAUAGAUUUGAUGGCCAUGUGAUUCUUAAUAGUGUGUAAUGGUUUCCGCAUCGAAGGAAAAGGUGUAAUUUUAACAUUGAAGCUGCUUAGAUCCCAUUUAUUAUUUCUAAUCAAUUCAGCCUAACUUUUUUUUUUUCAGGUACAAAUUUGUUAUAUCAAAUUGGCUGCUUCAUAAGUCUACAUGUUAGUUUCAGAGCUCCUUAUUGAUCGCCGAAGCUUUCAUCCCAAAACCACAAACCAAGGCGCCGCCUUUGUACUCACUGCCAAACUUAUCUAUGAAUGUAAGGUUUCAGAACUUUGAAUAGUUAGUUUAAAGUGGUAGCUUCUUUUGUAGAUUGAAGAUAUUUGUAGCAAAAACUGAUUGUGAAUGUGAAUGUGAUAAGUGGGAUUCAAUUUUAGUUUGAGUUAGGAUAGAACUAAACUAAUAGAUACAAAAGGGCUUCAAUGAGUUUGUAUAGAUCAAACAUGAUCAACUGUAAACUGCUUUGAUCGAGAAGGGAGGCAUAGCUUUUUGCCUUCUAAAUGAAAAAACUCCAUUGCAUUGCUAAGAACAAUGGCAACUAUAUUAAAAGCUUACGAGUUUUUAUGAUAUUAAGUAUGUAGAUUGAAAUGUUGUAUGCAAUAUGAUUAAAUGGAUAUGGAGUCCUUUGUGGUAUUUGAAUUUGAGUGUGUUUUAUUUACAUAACCAGUUAGCUUUUAAUCGACACUUACGAAUAUUUUUUGUUUCUGUUUUUGUAGAUUUAAGCUGAUGUUGCUGGGAAAAUUUAUGUUUUCAAGGUCCGUAUUCUGUUUUUACUUAUGCUUCUGUUUUUCUAGGUUUCGGUUAAUGUUAAUUGUAGUAACUUGCGGAAUCCAAACAUUCAUUUUUCUGUUUUUUCCUUACAGGAAAAGCUCCCACUGUGGACAAAGGUUGCAAAUACGUAGAGAAAUUUUGUGCCUGAGAGUUAAAUGCUUAGUGCUCAAUGAGUUGCAGUUUGCUUGCUGCUACCAGAUUUUCUUUCUUUUGAUCAUUCUGUGAUUCGUAACCUAUACUUUACAAGUUAUUAUGCAGUGUGAAUAUGUGAGUGUUGUUACAAUACAUCAGAUCAGAAAUUUCAAAGUUGCAUGAAAAACAAAGGUUAAUCGCACAAGCAUACAACGCACUUGCGCGCGUGCUAGAAGGCUAGUAAGUAAGAACGGCAAUAGCACUUCAUUCUGACUCUAGCCUUUUAAAAGAGGAAACCAUGCAUAGUUCUUUCAUUACUCACGAUCAUUUUAUGUUGAUGAUACGUAGGCCAUUACAACUCUCCUCCUCAAAAGUGUCAUGUAUAGCUUGGAGUAGAUUUUAUCAAAUUAAUUUUGACACUGUCACAUUACAUGUCAAUUUAAUUUAGUAAACACAAAUUGGCCUUUCAGGUGGAGAUGCUCUUACAAGUUACAAUGCUAAUCUUAUGUAUAACCUCAUUUUGAAAUUUGUUACGACUUAUGAGGUGGAGUUGUAGUAGGACACUGUAGGCUGUAAGUGGUAUAUAAAUAUAUACAUGUCAGAAAGGAAAUUAAUUAAACCGUCAUCUAUUUUUAAAACAUGAACUCUAGCUCGACCUGAAUUGUUCAUCUGCUCUUGUUAUUGUGAGUACUCAAUUUCUCUAUCUAUCUCAUCUAAUAAUCGUUAUUUGGUUUUAAUCUUAUUUUAGUUAUUCACAGUUACUAAUCAAUACUGUUUUAUACAACUUCGUUUAUCGAAUUGCUUGUUUGUUCUUAGUUUCUACCAACAUCUCAUUCACUCAUACUACAGUAGUACAGUUGCUUUUUUAAUCGUAAAUUGGAGACAAUUGCUAACCAAGCACAUAAAUUCAUUGAUAACUAAAAAUGGAACUUCAUUCUGACCCUUCCCUUUUAAUGGAUGAAAUCAUAGUUCUUUCAUUACUCACGAUAUCAUUGGAAUUGACACAAGGAUAAAACUUUAAUUGGAAUUGGCUUUAAUUUUUAAAAAUUUAGGUAUUAAGACAUUUUCUUUUUUUUAUAUUUUAGACUUGAGAAAAAAAGGCCGCAGCAGGACGCGGCCGGGGUUUGUCUAGUAUGAGUCAUAACACCAGACACAAAAAAGCACAAGUUGUCUUAAGGAAAAGAAAAUUGAACAAAUGGAAGAAUAUCAUUCAAAGACAAAGAUCGAGUCUAUGUAUACAAUUGGCGGCCUAACCUUGUCUGAAACAAACCCAGUAAAACAAAACCCCGAGCCAAGAAAAGGAGUACAAGCAAACUACCUCAAAACAAUUUAGACCGACUCAAGAAAUAUGAAGAGUGAAACACUAGGAUCAAGAAAUAUGCUUUGUCAUUACAAGCGUUGUAACGCAACAAACGAAAUGUACCCGACUAAAAUUGCAAGAAAAACUGAUAAUAGAAGGAACAGACAACGUCCAAAGAAAUAUGAAACAAUAAUAAAAAAUAAAAAAAGAUCAAAUUUUAUCUCUAUCGAAUUUUAAUAUCCAAAUACAAAACAAACAAAUUAAGGGCCAUAGAUAAGCUGUGGAAAAAAUCAGUUCUUCUAAUUUCAUGGCCAAUUUCUGAAAGCUUGCGUUGCUUCCACCCCUGCAAGUCUCUGCAACAUCCAUAACAUGCCAUCAUAUUAGGACUAAGCAGAGCAAAAGAGAAGGAAUAUCAAAUCUAUGUGAUAGCUAGAUAAACCAAUAUGAAAGAAAGAAAAUAAGGUCCAGCUUGAUCAAACUGGACUUGAAUUAAUCGAUCACAUAUUCACAUAGACACGUACCAUAUUGCCUCAAGUCAGAACAGCCCACAAUUACUUAGAGACAUCCCCAAGUACGCCUGCUCGCUCUCUCCGCCCGUCUGUUGUCCGCCAUGUCCCUAAAUUCAGUUCCUGUUAUACUAACAGAGGGCACAUGUUUGAUUUUGUGGGAAUCCUCCCCGCCUUCUCCAAGCCUACGACAGAACUCACUAGGCAUGAACUUGACAGUUAACUCCUUGAGGUUAGCAACAUAUUGAAGCCCCUCUGGAACUGCCCUCAAUGUUUCACAGAAAUCAAUGCGCAAUCUGCGGAGUAGAGGCAUGGCUCCUUCCUCCACCCUUAACUCUGUCAUAUUUGUCGACCUUUCGAGGCAAAGAAAUUCAAGAUUGGGAAAUCCUCCGUUGGUGCAGACCAGUGUGUCUGAAGUAAGGCUCGAGAAAAUACGACCCAAAAAGUAAAGCGCUCUCAACUGUGGCAGUUUCUCAAGUAUUUCUUUCUGGUCUUCCAUCAGGUAAGUGUGAGACAACGUUAGCUUGCUGAGGUUUGGAAAGGACGAGAGUCCUUCAGGUAACUUCUCUAUUGACCCUGCCAAUUGUAGCUUGUAUACAAACCGAAACUUUAAUACUACUAUAUCCCAUGAAGGACCAAACACUACAGAUAGAGAACGAAGAUGGAGGAAUACGAGACUACUCGAUUUCAAGAUUUCCUCCAGAUUUUUCCAGGGAUUUGUCUCUGCUGUAGUCUCAGAGAUGAAUAGCUUCCUAAGAUUUGUUAAUUCAACAAGGGAAUUUAAAUCAAAGCCUCCCCAUUCAACAUUCACCAAAGUCUGCAACUUUCCCAAUGCCAGCUGCCCUUGCACAGUCUUGCUCCUCCGAGGUAGAUAUAAAUGUCUCAAUUGUUCCAUCUUCCCAAACACAUUUGGAAUUUCUAUCAUUUUGGUAUUUCUGUAACGUAAAUCUAGAGUCUGCAAACACACCAAAUUCGCUACAGAUGAUGGGAAGUGGUUUAUUCCGCUUCUCUUAAGACCUAGAAACCGCAAGUGUACCAGAUUUCCAAUUGUGCUCGGUAACUUUUUGAGUCCUAGCAUAUCUUCUAACUUCAGAACUCUAAGCAACUUCAAGUCAUUGAAUACAGACCGGAUGACAUGUUUACUCCAGAUUGGUUGAAAAUCUUGAGGGCUGAAGUAUAUGAGUGACCUAAGGUGAUCAUCUCUUCUAGCGGGAACUAAUUGAUCUUCUUUGUCCAAAUAGAUUGCCAAUCUUCGAACUCUACCAACUUGUGUUUCGUUGGUUCUUGUCCUCGUUGAGAAAUUGGCAACAUGAAAAAAGUUCUCUUCUUCGGCCUUUAAGAUGCACAUAUCUCUCAUGAGAUCAUGGAGCCGACAUGUUUUAAUCUUCCCAGUUAAACCAAUUUGCCCGACCUGAAUCAUACACCUCGCCACCAACUCACUGAAGCAGCUAUAUGCUAUAUCUUCCGACAUUACUGAUGAUGUCGAAGAUAUAAAACCUUCUGCCAUCCAGAAAUAGAUCAAUUGUUUCACUGAUAUCUCAUAGUCUUCAGGGUAAUGGCUCAAAUAUAAAAAACAUAACUUUAAGCGAUAUGGUAGGUUUUCGCAACUCAAUGCCAAUAUCCACAAUACACCUCCAUACUUAUGACCGGUGUACUCUCGAUCAAUGUCUGUGCCUCUUCUUAUAUGCACAUCAACAUUCUCAUGCACAAUUUCCCACUCACCGACUGUGUGUUUUCUAGAAAGCAGUCCUGCAAGCACAAUAAUCGCUAGUGGCAAACCUGCACACUGGCGAAGCAUGUCCCUUCCAACUUCUUCUUUCCUUGAUUUGAUUCUGCUGUCUGGAAAAUAAGGUAAAAUGAACAAGUAUAUUUAAAAUUUCAAUCAUGCCAGUAAACUAAGAGUGUUGUAAGUUGAACUAAGGUUUAACAGCAUUUAGUUGUAAGUUAGGGAGUAGUGUAAAGGUCCGGCCGGGCCGGGCCGGGGGGGGGGGGGGCAUAGGCCUUUUUUGAAUUUUCGUUAACUUCUGUAUCUGAGGAUAGCAAUCACUUAUGCUAUCCCAUAUUCAUAGGAUACGAGUUUGCAGAAAGUAAAUUGCAGCAAAUAAAGAAACAACAUAAGGAUGUUUUUACUCGCAGAAACCCUGAAUGCAGGGAGAAAAACUGCGUGUCUCUAACUCUUGAGAGACAAAAACUUUUCACUAAGUUGAAGUAACUUCUUACAAGAAUAAUAGUUUUAGUGAUACACUACCACAGUGUUAUCCUUCGUAGUCCCAAACUAGUCUAAACCUAUUCCCUCUCUUGUUUCUAAGCUCUUACAACAUGGAACACUUUCAAAAGCCUUGUUCGUGAAUUCAGCUAACCACUAACAGAUUCAACCUUGAAUGCUUCUUGGGUUGGUUGCACUACACAUCCCUCAUGAUAUGCAACAUGAUAUGAGUUGAUGAAAGAAGAUUUGAGUUCAAGCUCUAAGGUUUACAGUCAUGAAGAAGACUUAGAGCAGCAUGAACAAUGCAAGCUAAAACUAGACUCAACAAAGAAAAUGCAAUAAGGCAGUUUUCAACAACCAUUGAGCAAAGCCAAAGCUAUAGAUAUAUAUAGGCAAACAAGGCAUCAAAAAUGAUGCAAGCUGACCUCAACAUGUUUCAGAAAGGUUUGGACAGAAGUGUUUGGCUACACUACUGAAAGUGAUGUAUCCAAAUGGAGAGAUGACACAAGUAAUCUUAAUAAGACAAAGAAACCUUUCCUAAAACAUGAACGAUUCAAAACAGGGAGCAAAGAGAUUUCAAACCCUCUUACUCAGUCCAUUAGUGGACCUUGACACAACCGAUAGCGACUGGUAUUUGAAUCACACAGGGACCAGCUUUGUAUUGGAUAAUGUAUCAUAAAAUCCAAACUGGAGCCUUGAGCAUCAAACCAUUUGGUCACGGGUUGACAUAACAAAAGAUCUCAACCCUUAGACUGGUUUGAGCGCCAAGGCAUUUCCCACAAACACAUUUGUCCACUUGAAUUUGAAAAACAACAAAGACCUAAUAAACUAAUAUAUAUAACAGGCUCUUUGAAAAUUAGGACAGCAAAAGACUUAGUACUAGGAUAGCAACCUUUGUGAAAAACAGUGAUAUGCAAAUGCAUGUUUUACCUGAAACCGUAAGGGAUGUUAGUAACACUUGUUCUUGUUCAGAUGACAGUAUCUUUGCAGGAUAAAAGAUUGUCAAUUAUCCUUAUACCUUCAUAGUGGUUAGGGUUUUGACGUUGUCCGUCUGUUUAGCACGUUUUAGGGAUUCAAACGUGUGGUUUGUCUGUCAUAUCAUAUGGUAUGUCAUACCUUCUGCAAAUGUGUCUAAUUGUAUGACAUGUGUGGGCUUUUGAAGGGGUAAAUAGUCAUUACAUGAUCAUUUAGUUGUUUCAUCAAUCAAUAAUAGCCACACAUUUUGUAAGGCAUGAUAUACCAUAUGGUACACUAGAAUUUUUCUUUCAAAUGUGGGUUGUUUUCUGAUUUUAUCCUCUUGUAAAUAGCUUUAUAAGCCAGAAGUUUGCUUUCAAUUAAAUAAGAACUUUCAGUCAAUCUUUGCAUUAUAGCUACAAUGUUAUCAACAUUUGGUAUCAACACAUGGGCCUGAUUUUGUUUGAGUGAAAGAAUUAGCAGCAGUAUCUUGAGGGUGUUGUGUUGCAAGGGAUGGCGGUAGAGCACUUUCGUGCAACUAUUGAUUCCAAAAUUUGAUGGUCAUUAUGAUCACUGGUCGAUGCUAAUGGCAUGGAGAAUUUCCUUCAUUCGAAGGAAUACUUGAGUUUUGGGGAGGAUGGUAUACUUGUAGCAACAACUGGUGUUGAAUUGACAGAGGUUCAGCACAAGGCAAUCGUGGAUGCUAAGAUGUGUUGAAAAAGUGUGGCUUAGAUUAGAGCCAUUUGGAAUCCCACAUUAGAAACGUGAAGAGUUAUUCUUGAGUUAUAAGAAAUGAUACCACACACACUAAUGCCGAUCCCAUACCCGCUUCGCAUCCGGGUGGCUAAGCUGGGGACAGUAUCGGCAUUAUUGGACCCGUGUGUAUGAGACCUGUGGGGCCCGUCGGCCGCUUCCGCAUAACAAGUGGUAUCAGAGCCCAGGUGACGCUUGGGACUUGGUAUCUCAUACGAUCAAGUUGCAAUUUGGUGGAGCUCUCGUUUGGAUUAGGGUCACAAGAUUUGAAAUUUGAUGCUUGUGAUCACGGUUGAGCUAUUGGGACUUGGAUCGUGAGAUUUGGAAAUGGCUCGAAUCAUGCCAGGUGGAGAUUGUUGGAAAAGUGUGGCUUAGAUUAGAGCCCUUUGGAAUCCCAAAUCAGAAACUUGAAGAGUUAUCCUUGGGUUAUAAGAAAUGGUACCACAUACACUAAUGUCGAGAUUUUUUGUGUUAAAACCCCAUACAUGUUUCGUAUCUAGGUGACUAAACUGGGGAAAAUAUCGGCAUUAUUAGACCCCUGUGUGUGAGACCUGUGAGACCCGUCGGCCGCUUCCGCAUAACAAGAUGAAAGACUUAAAGGUAAAGUUGUAAAGAAUUACCUUUUCCAAGCUAUAGAUUGAAGCAUCAUGUAGACAAUUCUCAACAGGGACACAACACAUUUGGGGCUAGAUAAGGCAAAAGUAUCAAGGUUCCACGAAGGUGAAGCAAGCACAGCUGCAGGCUAUUCGAAGGGAUUUUGAGACUCUCCACAUGAAGGAAGGAGAGACUGUUGAUGACUAUUUGGCUCGUACUCUCUCUAUAGCCAAUAAAUUGAAGGCUCACAUGGUGAGAAUAUGACUGAGACUGUCAUCAAUGAGAAAACUCUAAGGUCUAUGACUUCAAAAUUCGACGAUGUAGUUUGCUUCAUCGAAGAGUCCAAUAAUUUGGAUACACUAAAACCAUAGAUGAGCUUUAGAGCAGCUUGCUCAUUCACGAAGACACGAACAAAGGAUGAGUGGCCAUGGAAGAGACGAGCAGGUGCUCAAAGUUGCUUAGUAUAAUAGAGCAUGAAGAGGAAGAGAUCGAUGGAAAAUCAGAGGCAAAGGAAGUGGUCGAGGAAGAUAAUUUUUAACAAAUCUAUUGUUGAGUGUUUCAAAUGUCACAAACUAAUAGGACAAUUUCAAUAGGGUAGUGCUAGAGGGCCUUAAUAAGGUCUAAGAUUUAUGACAUUAAUCUUAUGUGGCAUGUCAUGUAACCUAAACACAUCAUUAAUUUUUAAAAUCAAGCCAAAAGACAAUGUUAACCCUGAUAAUUAAUGGCUACUACAUACUAAAAUAGAAUAUUUUCUUACCCUAAUUUAUUAAUAAUGAUGUAGUUAAUUAUCAUAGCAGGAGAGGCUUUUUAUUCCAGAAAACGUAAAUUUCUUUCUAUCUUUGAGUUAUAGAUCCUUUUAAAUUAUCAAUUUUUAUUUUAUUUUUACGGAUUACAAUUAUUUUGCCAUAGUCAUAUUCUCUGUCGAAUUUUAGAACAAAUAAAAAAUGAAAAAUCUCUAUCAAAUUUCUUUUGGAUGAAUUACAUAUAUAUAUAUAUAUAANNNNNNNNNNNNNNNNNNNNAAUCCAGGAGAAACUUUUAAAUCCCGCCGAGCCGAAAAUUUUCCCACCUGCUUCAAGUGGUCCUGCUUCCCCGCCGAAAUAUUUGACCCCAAAGGGGUGUUUGACUGGCUGGCUGGCUGGCUGUGCUUUGCACGUGCAUGGUCAUGUGCUGCCAUUCCUCUCCUCCACGUGUCUUCCUUCAAUGAGUAAAAUUGAAACAAAAUGUUCAAUUUUGAACCCAAAGAGAUUCGAACCUUUGUUUGGAUUGAUACAAUGCUAACACCUUAACCAACUCUACCAAGAAUUCAACUUGUUUAUUUUAAUAUCUUUACAAUAUAUAUUGGUUUUUUUUCCAAAUCUGAAAAGUAAAAAAUUAGAUAAAUAUAUAAUCCCCAUCUAACUUUUUUACUACACUUCCAUAAAGAAAAAAAAAACUUUUUUAUCUACUCUUCUUAAUUUAUUUUUAAUAUAUCUACCUUAAAAAAAUUCAUUUAUAACUACCUAAACUUUUAAAAAUUAUUAACGGUUCAGUACUAACAUUUUCACCUUAACUUACUACAACUCCCUAUAGAUCAAUGUUUAUUCAAGGUUUUCAUUUCAAAUAUAGUAAAUAAUAUAGAAAACAAACAUCUCUUAAAAUUUGGUUUAAAAUUUCCUUGUUUUUCUUCAAAUUUCCGUCAAUUUUCUUAUUUUUUUACUGCAAUCGAUAUUUCCUAGAAAUUUCCAUAUUUUAGAGGGUCGAAAUUUUCUUCUUUGUCUAAGAUUAAGGCAAAUAAUCAUUUUCCAUUUCAAUAUAAGUGUCUUAGUUGGGAGAAGAGAGCCAACUACACAGAGUGAAAUGAAAAAAAAAAUGAAAAAAAAAUGCCUUAUUUUAGGGUCAUAUGUGGAGAACAAUCAUGCUAAGAGAUAGGAAGUGUGGUUCCUCGAUUCAAGAUGCAAGGUGCAAUAAUCAUAUGAGUGGGAUGUGGGAACAGAGAUUGGUUCUUUGGAUCUAGAUGAGCACUUCUGGCGAACAGUGUAGCUAGGCAAUAACAUGAGAAACCAAAUAUAUAGUCGACCUCUUCACAAACUUCUAGACGAAGAAUAAAUCACCAAGUGACACCACUCGUGGCCAAAACCUGAUCAACAUCAAGCCUCUAUGAACUUUGAUCAUCUGUCGUUCUUAAGUCCGAUCAAAAUCAAGCAUCUACCGCUCUUGAUCAACAGUCGUCUUCAAGUCUUCAACAAAGCAAAACUUCUGCAACGUUCUUCAUCAACCCCGUGGAGAAUCAACAAGCACCAAGCAUGUUUGCCGAUUCAUCCACCAUCAAAGUUACAAUCACCACGUGACACUACUCAUGGCCUAAAUAUGAUCAAGAUCAAGCAUCUACGGUCCUUUGGUCAAUUAUUUUUUACAAAUUGUCAACACGAUAAGAAGUUCAAACUACAACUAGUUGAUUCAAGAUCAAGUGCUUGCAACUCUUGUAUCAAAUCAACGUUGGAGAUCAAAUUUGAGGAAAUCUUGUUAAAUAAUACCCAUGCACAGAGAUUGUAUGUAAACCUCAAAAUAAUAAAGAUUAUUUUUUUGUACGCACGUCAUUAGUCGUUGCUGGAUUUCUCGAACGAUGGUGACAGACGACGGCUUUCUCAGAUGAACCUGAUUCAAAUUUGGGACCCUGGCUCUCCUAUAAGGCGGGAUCUAGGUCGAGGUUUGCCGGUCAAAUCGCAGUCUUUGGAUGCCGUUGCUAUCUUUCAGAUGCGGUUGUUAUCGACGACGACGAUUGUUGAUGAAGUGCUUGAGUAGUUAUGAAUUGGCCUUUCAAACUUGUCGAUAUGGUCUUUAUCAAUCCAUAUGGAGGUGUGGUUCAGGGGUAUAGAGGCUUGACAAGAACGACGGUUCCCGACAUGGUUUAGUGUGGCAGCGGGUUGGCUUCGGUGGUGGUGUUGUUUGGAUGCGUAAGGUCCAAGUGGGCCUAGAUUUGGACCUUGGCUUAUGUCAAAAAUGGGUCUGGGUUUAUUGCUUGGGUGCCCUAAUUUCCUGUUGGGCAUGGGCUUUUGGAUCGGGUCAUAUUUGGAUCCGAAUUUGAGAUCUAGGAAGUAAUCUCUUCCGGAUCUUAGAUCCGAGACAGCUACCCAUCUUGAUCUGGUAUUGGUUUUGGUUCUUAGGAGUUUGAUUGCUAAUUUUCGAGUUUCUUACACCCUCGGUUACUCUCGAACUCCUGAUGUAUGAAUCACCUCUCGUAGAUGAGUAUAUCAUCGGUUACGGUUACGGUUACGGUUACUAUCACAAUUACGUUAUUAUCGUGUUAUAUCACUUAUAUGCAGUUAAACGAUGUCGUUCGGCAUCAAGUCUCGUCUUGGUUACUUCUCAAUAUAUAUGCAUUUGUGCAUCUAGUUAUAUUUUAUUGUUUUUUCAUUAUAAAUGCGUUUGUGCAUCUUGUUAUGUUUUCUUGCUUUAUAUAUGCGUUCGCAUCAUGCUAUGUACUUUUCAAUUAUUAUUAAUAUAGACUUUCGUCCUUGAUAAAAAAAAAUAUAUAUUAAAACUAAAGUAUAUAUUUUGAUAUAAAAAUAAAUAAAUAUAGUGUUUUUAGCAAAUAAUGACAAAAUAAAUUUUUAGAAAUUAUUGUUUUAUUACCCAUAGCUUAUUGAGCAAAAAAAGUCUAAACACGUGUCAUCAAUUUAACGGAAAAACUAACGGGAUAUACCAUAUUUGGUAAACGGUGCAAUAGUUAAUAUACCAUUUUAGGUAAUAAAAAUUCGUAGGUACUAAAAUGUAUCUUUCGUAAAAAAUUUAGGUACCAUUUUAGGUUUUUACUCUUACAUGUAUAUUAAUGUAAUUUGGGUGUAAGUUAUUUAUUUAUUUUUUAUUGAAUGGGUGUAAGUUAAUUUAUGCAUUGUUUUUUCUAAUAGAAACUUGAAUUUUUAGGUUUAUAUCUAAUUUUUGUUGAACGUGUUGGAGAGUACUAGAUCUCACAUCAGAAAAGAGGUAAAUAAAUUAUAACUUAUAAGUAAAUGAAUCAUACCUAAUUGUACCGAGACCUUUUGUAAUUAAAACUCAACACCUUAAAGGUGGUUAAGUUUGGACAGUAUCGGUGCAAUCUAUAUUGAAGACUAAAUACAUUUAGAUAACAUUAAUUUUCAUAUUUUCCCUACCUAUAUCUUAAUCAACUCAUCGUUAAUUCGUCAUUUUAUUCACAAAACCAUAAUGUUAACUUGAUCAAAAUAUUUACAUACAUUCUUAAACAUUGAAAAUACAAAUUCAAGAUGUAAUUAAAAAAAAAAGAAUUGAAAAAAAUUAUUUUCUUCUUCGUUGCUUACAACUUCUAACAUACAAAUUUUUUGACAUGAAUUGAAAUAGACGAACGAACAUUGAAUCUGAUUUAGAAGAAAAAAUAGAAGUAAAUCAAACUCAUUUUAUUAGAAAACCUUAUUAUUAUUAUUCAUUUUUAUAAAUCGAACGAGAGGUUUUCAUAAUGAAAAUAACGUUUUAAUUGUAUAUGUCAUAUAAGAAUAUUUCUGGUAAAAGAAGUGGGUGAAGUAAGUAAAUUUAGUAUUCAUAAUUAAAUUUAGGAUGAAAUGAGCAAGUAGGGUGAACAAAGAAGAUAGUAGGGUGGCAAUAGACCCAUCCUAUAAAAUAAAAUAAAAAACAUAUUUAAAAUCGCACCUGUCUCAUCCGCUUCCGAGAAUGCUAUCUUCCGAAACAAGUUCCAGCUAUCAUAAUCACUCAGUGCCUGCGAUCCAUAGGACAAACCAUUUUCCUUUGCAAUUGAAGAUAAUUCUUCGUUGCGAGUUGUGAGAAUGAUUCGGCUAUUAGUUUCCUCAUUCACUGGAAAUGCACCUUUCAAAGAGUUCCACCCAUCAAGUGUCCAUAUGUCAUCAAGCACCACCAAACACUUUCUCUCCCGUUGAAAAUUGUAGAGCCUCUCUGCUAUUUCAUCACUUUUCAGCUCUGCAAUUUCCUUUCUUUGCUCAUCGGACGCACCGCUAAGUUUUAUGAAAAUUUCUUUCAUAAUAGCUAUGCCCUCAAAUUGUUGAGAUACACAGAUCCAAGCAAAGUACUUGAAAUAAGACUUGACUUUCUCGUGAUUAUAAACCUUCUUUGCAAGAGUGGUCUUCCCCAAUCCCCCCAUACCCCAAAUGGAAACAAUGCGGCGGCUUCUUUCUUCUACCAAAUAGGUAGACAACUUCUCAACCUCUUUCCCUAUCCCAACAACAUCAUGAUCAUCACUAAUAUGAGCAUAAGUCAACCUGCGUUCUCUUUGCCUCGCAAAAGAACUGGCUCCUUCAUUCCCCUUCCUUUGCUUUAUGUCAUAAUUUUGCAUAGUCAACCUCAGUUUAGAAAGCUUGGUUGUAAUGCUCUCAAUUUCUGAUCCGAUCUUGUAACGAUGAACUCCUUCAUUCCAGAUGCAAGCAUAUCUCUUGAAAACAAUCUUCAUACUUCCUCCCCUCUUGAGAUCCAGAUUCAAGACAAAAGAUUCAAUGACAUCCUCCAAAUCAUAAGCAGCUUCUCUAACCACUUUAACCCAAAAGCGCACCACUUCAUCAUCUUCUUGUCGCUCAUCUGCAUCUUUGAGGAAGCUCCGCAUCAGGAGUAGCUCGCUUUGUGCAAGUUCAACUUGAUCGCCAACUCCUUGUAACAACAUAGCAUUCUGAAUCACCAAGUUUCCUAGCGGCUUGAGCCCUUCGAUCACCAUCGAAACUACAGCCUCAGCCAUAGUUGGACAAGUGUGUUCGCCUGAAGAAUUAAAGACAACUAUAUCAGCUUUCUUUCUUCUUUCUGUUUUGUGGAUUAGUUGCAGUAGAGAUUAAUUGUUGCAGUCUCUUCUGAUUACAUAUACAAACCCUCUUCUCUUAGUUAUAACUAGUCUAGAUAACAUGAAUUGAAGUCCACUAAUGAAUUUAUAAAUAAUUAGGUAACGACUUGGUGAUUACAAUUAUUUAGUUCCAAUCUGCUUGGUUCCACGUUACAUCACAUGGAGAGUGGUUAGUACAGCUGUGAUUAAGAUUGCUAAAAUUAAAAAAAGUACCACUAAAUCAUAUGUGAUCACACUUACAACCGAUCAUUUUCAAUGUUCAACUCGUAAUUAUUAUAUUUUCAAUGUUAUCCUGCAUUUUCUUUCAACUAAGACAUAUAUUAUAAGUCGAAAUGCAAGCUGUAUAGACAUAUAUUAUAAGUCCAUACGUUAUAAGUCCAAAUUAGGGCUGCCACUUGGUUUGGUAAAUACCAAAUCGAUCGAAAACCGACCGAAAAUUUAUGAUUUGGUAAACCGAAUUUUGGUAAUCGAAAUCAAAAAAACCGAAACAGAGAAAUACUGAAAAAGUUGGUUUGGUUUUUGGUAAAUACCGAAUUUACCGAAAUUCUAAUUAUUUCUAAAACCAUACAGACUAAUAAUCUUAUCUCACGUUUUCAAUUGUAUAUACCAUUUAGUAAAAAACAAGACAAUGAAUAGAAAAAUUCAACUAUACUUGGUAGCAUUUGGGUCUCAAUUAAAACGAUCAACUUUAAUUUAAUGUUACUUGUUAUAUAAAAACGCUCUUAUAUACCCGUCUUAGUUGAUUCAUCACACACACACAUAGACAAACCCACUUAGAUGACAUGUAACCGCCCAUGUAAAAAUUUAGGAAUGUUUUUACCUCUCUUGAUGAUAGGGCUCCUCAUAGAAAGCACAAGCGUAAAUAGGGUUAGCCGCCUUGAUCAAGGCCAAAACAUUAUCAAAAAUACCUAAUUUUUCUACCAUAGUCGUAUUUCACUAUAUUGAUCACAUCAUAGUUCACAAGGUUUUUGAAAAUUUUGCUUCCUCUUUGUAGUUGGUUCAUAAAGAUGUACAUAUGCAUAUAACUUACUAAAUAAGUUAUACCACAUUACUAGGCAUGUUGUGAUUCCAAUGAUUACAAUUCACAAAAUUAAAAUUCGACCGUCUGAUGUGAUCAUUAUAGUAUAAUACAAUUAUGAUAGAAAAUUCAAUUGUACUCAAUAAUGCUCGGGUCUUGAUCAAAGCGGUCAACCAUAAUUUAACGUCACUUAUUACACGAAAAAGCUUUUACUGCCCUUAUGUGACUUAUUUUGGUCGACUCUUCCACACAUACUUUUACAUAGAUAACACAUAACUUGUUCAUAUAAAAAUUUGGAAACAUUUACAUCUUGACUAUUUUGGUAGAAAAUUAAACUAUACUCGAUAAUGUGUACUGAAAUGACUAUCUUUUGUAUAUGUAUUAUCAGACUCUAGAAACUCAAGUGAUAUUUAAAUUUUAUAGUUUUGUAUUGUUUUGUUAUAUUUUGAAAAUAUAUUUGUUGUGAAAUUUGGUAAUACCGAAAAACCGACAUCCGAAGUUGGUAAGAUUUAUCUCAUACCGAAGUUUUUGGUUUGGUAAUUGAAAAUCAUAUUUCAUUACCAAAAGCUUUGGUUUUGAAGUUGGUAACGCCCAUUACCGAUUCGAACCGACCGAGUGGCAGCCCUAGUCCAAAUGCAAGCUGUAUAGACAUAUAUUAUAAGUCCAAAUGCAAGCUGUAUAUAUGUUAUUUGACUACUUAGUUCCCUCUCCAAAUUUAAAUUAAGACUAAUUACAUCCGUAAUGGUCACCGUAAAGUGUGAUUACUGCGACUGCUGACUAACCUGAUAAACCAACACCUUAGGAGUAAGUGAAUAAGUAAAAAUUGAGCAAAACUCCCACAUGCCCAAAUUGAGCUAACCCUAAGCCCUAAGGUAUAAGAUGAGCAAUUGUUGAUCAAUAGUCGUCACCAUCAAUCUCUAAGCCAAGCUAGUUCUAAGUAGAGCUAGCAAUUUGGGUCAUGUCGAAACCAACCAACCGUACCAACUUAGUUGGUAUACCAAAGAUUUGAUAACCGACUUACUUGGUACGGUAUACCGUACCAGUUUUGGUAACAUAGUAGGUACUUGGUAUUGAGAUUUUUAUACCAUCGGUAUACCGUACCAACCAUUUAUGUGUAAUUAUGCAAAAAUACACUCAUAUCUAUGUAGGAAACGAAAAUUGAACCUCUAACCUAGGGAUCAUCAAAAAGCCCACGUAGGGCUUGGUUAGGGUCGGGCCAGGCCUCAAUCAUGUAUUUUUUAAUUUUAGGGCCAGGCUAUUCAAAAAAAUCAAAGCCCACGGGUCGCUCACGGGCUCGGGACUUACGGACUUAUUAAGGCUUUUUAGAUGGGUCGGGCCGGGCCUAUUAUACACAUAUAUCUAAUAGAAUUUUAUCAAAUAAAACAAAAAACUAUAAAAAAAGUUAAGAUUUGUUAAUUAUUGAACUAAAUGUAAUAAAAAAUCAAAAUAAAAUAUGACUUAAUGCAUUAAUUAAUUUACAUAUUUAACUAAUAAAUCUAUAAAAAAAUAUUUAUAAAACAAUUAAUAGGACUUUGGGGAGGACUUUUAAGCGGGCUUUUUAAGGCCGGACCGGGCGGGCUUUGAUAGGCAUGUAACGAACCGAGCCGCGGACUGGGCCGAGACUUUUGAUCUAGCAAGAGAAGAGAGAAAUAAAGUCUCACCGUAACAUUACAAGAUCUCUGCCUGGUCCCCCUUUGCAGACCAAAUAUUUUCCCAAUAACAUGAGUGACAGUGGAACACUCAUGGCACAUCAGCUGAUGUGGUUUAGGAAGCAAUGUGUUGAGUACGCUACAGAACCAACAGUCAAAUGAAACUUCCUUUUUGGGUUACACAACCAUCCUCCCGUGGAAGGAGCCUAGGGAAAUCCCAUGUAAGAGAUUACACAAUACAAACACCUGGAGGCUUGUAACUCAACUUCAAACACAAACACUGAGAAAAACUAACAAAACCAUAGAAAGGAAAUGGAGGCAAUGAAAAGAAAAAAAAAAACACGUUACAACUUUCAAGUGGAUCCAAAUUGGUACAAACUACAAACCUCCAUGGAGAAAAAUAGUUCGCAAUAAGAAUGUUAGGCUUCUCAUACUCUCGAGUUCCAGUCUAAUCAAGCCAGCGUGAGGGAAUUAUAAAGUUGAGGGAAAAAAGAAUGUUAGGCUUCUCAUCAUCUUCCCUUACACUCCAACAGUGGCCAGAAUCUCGAUGCUUACAUCCAAUACAGCCUACAGGUCCAUAAAUCCAAAAGGUGAGGGAAAAAGUUGGCAGCAAAUACUAAAAUCUCAUUGAAAUCACAAGGAUCAUGAGCUUUAUAUCAGCUAAAGCAACUGAUAACAGUAGAUUGUUCAAUCUCAAGUAGAAGCAGCAAAUCAUAAUAGGGUAAUUAUAAAGUUGCCUUAAAGAAGACAUCACAAUUUACAGAUUAAGAUGCAAAUUUCAGCAUGGUGUUAAUCUGUUCCGCAGUUUGUUAUCUUCUAAACAUAAUCAAAUGAAGCACAAAGUGCUUACAUUUCGGGAUUCCUUUUGAUCGUUGUUGACUAGUCUAAAGUUUUGGGGAUAGGAGAAGACUAUUACUCUUGCUAUGCAUCUGUUAUUAAAUUCUAGUGAAAGAACAUGGAAGCAUAUGCCACAAAGUAAAGAUACAUACCAGUGGAUUUCUACAGUUAACCAGCCUACACUCGUCCAGAGAACCUUCCAACAUCCAACUCUUCCAAACAUCAAAACUGUGACUUGCGAAUACAAAUUCCAUUCUUCUAUUUAUCUGCAAUAUGAAAAUAGCACAUGAUUUUAAUCCCAAACAUGUAGUGGCAUUUACAGUUACAGGUCAACUUAUGCACAAUUAUUACCGCACCAAACUUCGUGGAAGGAGAAAUCAAAAGCAAAAACAAUGCUUGUGGGGUAAGUUCAACCAUGCACGGAGCAAAAUUAUUACCUGCAAUAACUUUCCACCAGCGGCAAAAGAUCGCAAUCCAAUUGUAUCCUACAGGAAGGAACCAAUACUUCAAUAUCACCGAAGCAAAUCAUAACAAAAAUAUGUCAUCAGUUUAUCACUGUAGGCAUAAUUUGAAAAAUAUCAAAAUUAAAUACAAAAGAAAAGGACUAAGUUCUUGCAUUCUAACCUUGCUUCAGAUGACAAUGAGGAACUGAGCUGCAGGGUCCCUUUUUGUUACAUUUGACAUGGUAUCUAGGAACCAACCACCACCUUUAACUCUUUGCCUUGCAACAUGAAGACUGGGGCCAUCUCUUGCAUAUAGAGCUACAACAUAGCCAUCCUUCCACAAAAUUGAAGAUAGAUUUGAGAGGAUGUAAAUUAGGCUCUUAAUAAUUUUCAGAAACUGAUACAUCACAUCUUAAUCUCCCAUGCGAAUGAUGAUCAUUAGCUAUUGGCAUGAAUGACAUCAAUUGUCACUUUUGGAAUUUUGGUAACUCGUACAAUAUCACAGAAACAUGAUUAAAAGUAAGGAUGGGAAAGCAGAGGGCGGAACCUGCGAAACCACUAUGACCUAAUAACCUAGCAAGGGCAUCAGCUAAGAAAUUAGCCUCUCUCCGAACAUGAUUAACUGAGGGAAAAAAAAUCAGUUCCUAGUUUUUUUUGAAAGUAAAAUCAGUUCCUAGUUGUUCCGUGGCCAAUUUCUGAAAGCUUGCGUAGCUUCCCCCUGCAACAAACCAUACCAUGCCAUCAGAUCAUGUAGUAGCUAGAUAAAUCAAUAGGAAGGAAUUAAGGAAAUGAUACAAGUUAAGGCCAACUUAAUCAAACGUACUGUACGCCAAUUAAUCGAUCACAUACCAUAGUUCCUCAAGUCCCAAGUGCCCGGAAUAACUUGAACAUCUCCAAAGCUCGCUUCGCCUCUACGCGUCUUCCACUCUUCCUCAAUCACCAGCCUCGACGAGUACAAGUUCCCGUUAUAGUAAGAUAAGGCACAUGUUUGAUUUUGUGGAAAUCAUCCCCGUUUUCCUCAAGUCUUUCGCAAAAUUCAAUGGGCAUCGACUUGAAAGUUAACUCCUUGAGAGCAGUAACAUAUUGAAGCCCAUCUGGAACUGCCCUCAAUUUGUCGCACUGCGUAAUGUACAAUCUGCGGAGACGAGGCAUGCCUCCUUCCUCCACCCUCCACUCUUUUAAUUCUCGCAACCCUUCAAGGUAAAGAAAUUCCAGAUUCGGAAAUCCUCCAUUGGUGCAAACAAGUGUGUCUGAAGGAAGGCUCGAGAAAACAGGAUCUUGUAGGUAAAGCACUCUCAACUUCUCAAGUGUGGCAGGUUCUCUAGUAUUUCUGUCUGGUCUUCCUUCAGUUCAGUACGAUACAACUUUAUCUUGAUGAGGUUUGGAAAGGACAAGAGGUCUCUUGGUAACUCCUCGAUUGACCCCUCCAGUUGCAGCUUGUAGAUAAAUUCAAAGCUUAAUAGGAUAUCCCACGCAGAACUACCAUAGAGAAUUUCAAGAGACAGAGAACGACGAUGGUGGAAUGUGAGGCUACGUCUCGCCACCUGAAGUCAUUGAAUAUAGAAAACAUAACUUCAAACGAUAUGAAAGGUUUUCAUAACUCAAUGCCAAUACCCAUAAUGCACCUCUUCUUAUAUACACAUUGACAUUCUCACUCACAGUUUCCCACUCAUUGACUGUUGUCUUUCUUAGAUAGCAGUCCUGCUAGCACAAUAAUCGCUAGUGGUAAACCUGCACAGUGGCGAAGCAUCUUCUUUCCUAAUACUUCUUUCUUUAAUUUGAUUUGAGAGUCUGAAAAGAAUAGACUUGAUCACAAGCAAUCACAUUCUAUUCCACUGCUUGCUUGAUCUCCAUGCACGUUCGCAUCACACAACUUAACGUUACAAAGCAUAUAUAUGCUUAACGUUAUUUUUUUUUUUAUUCGGUAAAAUACAAAGAAAAAGGAAUUAGGUAGAUGUUAAUGGGUAUAGAUCAGACCAAAUGGAUCUUCCUAUAGGGGAUAAUACGAUCAUCCUCCCCUCAAGGAGCCAAUUAGACCACGUAAAGCGUAUGUAAACACAUUUCUUUAUGAAUAACACCAAUUAGACCACGUUACUAAAAGAAGAAAUCGAACAACCAGGAAAAGAAAUGGUGGCCUCCCCCUCCCUAUUAUCUUCUUGUCUGAAACAAACCCAGCAAGACAAAACCCCGAAGCAAGAAAAAGAGUACAGGCAAUUUACGUAUGGGUGUUGCUAGAUGUACCAGCAAACUUUUUAAUAGACCCAGCAAUUAAAAAUUAUCCUGUAUUUUUCAGUUUUGCCCUUGUUAUAAUAAACCCAGCAAACAUCAUCUCUAACACCACGUUGAGACCAGAAAGAGAACUAAUAUGGGGGAAGAAAUCAGGAGGAGCUUUCCCAUGAUUUAAGUAUAGAAUCUUGAGAAGAUUUGAUGUACGGGAUAUCGGAACCGAUUGCCUUCAAAAAAAAUAAAUUCCAAUUCAAUGAUCAUCCCAUUACAUAUAUCUCACCCAUAUCAAUACAGGUAUGGAACUUUGAUCAUCUUAAAACAUAUAAUUGUAGAAUAUAUUUCAGGUAAUGGAGAAGAAGAACAAAAUCGGCUAAAAGUCUCUUAAUCAAAGAUUGACACUGCAGAUGAAUAGAUGACUACGCAAUUAAUCACAAAAUUUCAAUUCAACUCAAAGGCUCAAAGCAAAACAACGAUAAGAUGGUAUGACCCAGAUCCCACUUUAGCCUCCUAAAUAGGAUGUGUUUGCGCAGUCGUUGCCACAUCUCUUCUUCUUAAUUUAAUGCCUCUGAUCCGACUCUAAGAGAAGAAUUUGUGUUUGCUAGGUUUAUUAUAACAAGGGCAAAACUGAAAAAUACAAGAUAAUUUUUAAUUGCUGGGUCUACUAAGUAGUUUGCUAGGUACAUCUAGCAACACCUUUACGUAUUUACACCAACUCAAGAAAUAUUGUAAAGUGAAACAGUAGGCCCAAAGCACACAUAUGCUUGUCAUUACAAGCAGUUACAAGUUACAACGCAACGAAUGAAAUUGAAAUUGCAAGAAAAACUGACAAUGAAAAGAAUAGAUAACUUUUUGUAACCAAAGAAAAGAAAAGAAAAGAAAACAAAGAGCAUGUUAUAAUAACAGAAGGUACAUGCUUGAUUUUGUGGAAAUCCUCCCCGUCUUCCCCGAGCCUAUUACAUAACACUUGAAAAGUUCUUGAUAGUCAACUCCUUGAGUGUGGCUACAUAUUAAAGCCCAUCUGGAACUGCUCUCAAUGACAGGCUUGAAUACAUCCAUGCAAACUACCUCAGAACAAUCAAAUUAUACCGACUAUGGAAAUAUUUCUGGAGCAUUCUUAUUAUUACAACAUCUGACCAGAAGUACCAGUUGUACCAUGCAAGAAAUAAAAUGUACCAAACAAGACAAAUUUCCCAGAAAACAGAGACCAUAUAAAUUACAGGUAAGUUGUGGAGAAAAUCAGAUCUUGGUUCCGUGGCCAUUUCGUAGCUUCACCUGCAACAUGCAUUAGAUUAGGACUGAGCAGAAGAAAAGGGUAAGCAUAUCUAAUUAUCUUUGUUAUCUAUGAAUAGGAAGAAAGCUAGGAAACAAGGCCCAGCUUAAUCGAACUGUCAAUGAAUCGAUCACGGACCAUAUUUCCUCGAGCCCAGUAUUACUUAAAUGUCUUGUCCCACUCGUUUCUAUAAUAAGUUCCUGUUAUAACAAGAGAAGGUACUGAUAACAUUCAUGGAUUUAUUGAAAGGAAAGGAAAGGAAGAAAGAAGAAGACUGAAAACAAAGAAAACGCAGAGAACCGAAUGGACUACAUUUUGAAUAUUCUGAUACAAUCAACACAGUACAAUUAUGGCUAAAUAUAGGAGAAUUAGACUAAUGACAGAAAGACAGAAAUACCCUUCUAUAAUAUUAUCCCUAUAUUCCUAACAGGUACAUGUUUGAUUUUCGAGAAGGUGAAUUCUGGAAUGUACGCAGUGCUCCGAGUACUGCGGCUGUCUGGAGCACGUGUCAAGCAGCGGAGAUAUGAAGAUAUGAAGUGGUAGAAAGAUCUGAAGAUAUGAAGUGGUAGACCGAAAUCUGGAAAUUCGAUUCGGCGGUCUUCUGCUGGGAUAACGACGGAGCUCAAGAACUGCUUUGAGGAAUUGGGUAACGAGGUAAAUCUUUGCGCUAUUUUCUUUCUGCGGUUCAUUUGAUUUUCAUGGUUAAUUUGAUUGAACCUGUGUGGGUUUUGGGUUAGGUUCGAUUCUUGAGUUAGGAAUUGAUUUUCGUUUCUUGAAGUUUGGUGAUCGAGUUCAAUUUGCCUGAUUGGGUUGACGGGCCACCGACUUCGAAGGCCGAGUUGACUCGGUGGUGUUCAGUCGCCGUCGUUUUGGUGUUGAGGCCUGGGANNNNNNNNNNNNNNNNNNNNAUGAUUUUGUAAGUCUACCUCCUUUCACCCUCAUGUUGUGCAUGAGCGUGAGCAGUAGCAUAAAGUAUGCAUAUAUCUACGAGAAACAAUUGAUUAGUCGAUGAAACUCUGUUUGAAGUGAUAGAUUUUUGCUUUAUAUGUUUGACGGAAACACCACAAUAUUUGAUAUACGAAGGCUACAAAUGAUGCAUUUAUUUGAGCACAUGUAAAUGGUAAUUGUAUUGUACUAUGUCUUUUAAGUGAAAUUAUAACAUUGGUUCCUGUCCAGGUUUAUGUGAACACCAUCUGUGAUAUUCUGAUAUUAUUUUGGUAUAAUGGUCGAUAGUGAUACGGAUGACUCUGAUGAAGGUUUGGAAGUUCCCAACGACAGCUCCGCAGAGUGCGCAAGGUAUGCCUCCCUCCUUAUUGAAGCUGGAGAGGCGUGUUCAAAGUACUGAAAGUCCCCUGAAGGCUUCAAUGCCGCAAUGAUUGGGUUUCAAAUGUUGAAAGCUGAAUCCACGAAAUACAACCCGAUCGUGAAUGGAGAUCUUGCGCCUCGCAAUGAUAAGGCGUAACAUUGAUUUUGUUGCUAAUGUUGACAUGUUAAAGUAUUGACAGGAUAGUAACAGGACAUCAUUCAUGGUUAUGUUAUUCAGUUGUGGUUUUAGAAUAGUAGCUAGCUAGUGCUUAUUAUGAUUCCUAAUGCAGGUUUUGCGAUGCAGUUAUUGGAUAUGAAAAUUGGUUGGAACGCUUCAGUAUUAUAACUCCAUUCAAUUGGAUUAUCAGGUGUGAAUAAAGCUUCAGUAUCCUAGAAUUUCAUUGCACUAGUUGCUAUUAUUUUCAAUUAGGAACUUGCAAAUUGUGAUAUUUUCGUAGNNNN